UACGUAGGGUGCAAGCGUUAAUCGGAAUUACUGGGCGUAAAGCGUGCGCAGGCGGCUUUGUAAGUCAGAUGUGAAAGCCCCGGGCUGAACCUGGGAACUGCGUUUGAAACUGCAAGACUAGAGUGUGGCAGAGGGGGGUGGAAUUCCGCGUGUAGCAGUGAAAUGCGUAGAGAUGUGGAGGAACACCGAUGGCGAAGGCAGCCCCCUGGGAUAACACUGACGCUCAUGCACGAAAGCGUGGGGAGCAAACAGG
rnacentral:rRNA from 1 species